rnacentral:rRNA from 1 species
UACGUAGGGGGCUAGCGUUGUCCGGAUUUAUUGGGCGUAAAGAGCGUGUAGGCGGCCAGGUAGGUCUGCUGUGAAAACUCGAGGCUCAACCUCGAGACGUCGGCGGAAACCAUCUGGCUAGAGUCCGGAAGAGGAGAGUGGAAUUCCUGGUGUAGCGGUGAAAUGCGCAGAUAUCAGGAAGAACACCCGUGGCGAAGGCAGGUCUCUGGGCCAUAACUGACGCUGAGAAGCGAAAGCAUGGGGAGCGAACAGG